GGAAGGAUCAUUACCGUUGUUGAUGUGCUCGUGCCUGCUCACGACCGUCGAUCUUCGGAUAACUACUGUGCACUGGUUGAGACGAUGCAGGUGGAUCAGCUAAACCUGGCCGCUUGCUAUUGUCGGCUGCUCUAUUCGGGGUAACCUUCCGCACUCGGUGAAGGUUUUAAAUGGGUGUCGGGAGCCACUCGCGUCUUCCCCGGCCCCGUCUAGAGUGGUUUUUUUGUUGUUGUUGUUUACCUUCUACUAAGCGAACAGCAUGUUUGCAGGCCGAACGUGACACAAUGUUAAAGUAAUGUCAAUAGACAACUUUUAACGGUGGAUCUCUUGGCUCGUGGAUCGAUGAAGAACGCAGCAAACUGCGAUACGUAGUGUGAAUUGCAGAAUUCAGUGAAUCAUCGAGUCUUUGAACGCAAAUGGCGCUCUUGGUUCUGCCAGGAGCACGUCUGUCUCAGUGUCGUUUUCAUAUCGAGCACGCUUCGGCGUGGUUGCCAUGAGGUGUCUGGUUUCUUGCCGCGUAACUUGUUACUGGUGAAGAGUCCAGUCCCUUGAAAAUCCGGGAGUGGCUGCUCCGCCCAUUGCUUGCUGCUGGGCUGGCACGGCUGUUGCGUGUGAGUUUGACUCGCGCUCGUCGUGUUUCUCAGUCUAUCAGUACUCCAAAGGCAUGGGUUAUUGAUGUGAGUUGCCGUUUGUUCCCAGUCGUUGUUUCUAAACACGAAUGAAAGACGCCGUAUGCUUCGUGCAGACGAUCGUCAACUUUGACCUGAGAUCAGUCGAGACUACCCGCUGAAUUUAAGCAUAUUAAUAAGCGGAGGAAAAGAAACCAACAGGGAUUCCCC
rnacentral:rRNA from 1 species